AGAGUUUGAUCAUGGCUCAGAUUGAACGCUGGCGGCAUGCUUUACACAUGCAAGUCGAACGGCAGCACAGGGAGCUUGCUCCCGGGUGGCGAGUGGGCGCACGGGUGAGUAAUACAUCGGAACGUGUCCUGUUGUGGGGGAUAACUGCUCGAAAGGGUGGCUAAUACCGCAUGAGACCUGAGGGUGAAAGCGGGGGAUCGCAAGACCUCGCGCAAUUGGAGCGGCCGAUGCCCGAUUAGCUAGGUUGGUGAGGUAAAGGCUCACCAAGGGCGACGAUCGGUAGCUGGUCUGAGAGGACGACCAGCCACACUGGGACUGAGACACGGCCCAGACUCCUACGGGAGCA
rnacentral:rRNA from 1 species